GCAUGAUGGCUCAGUGGUAGAGCAGUGGUCACUGGGAGGUCCUUGGUUCAAAACCAAGUCAAUGCG
rnacentral:tRNA from 1 species